UCUUGGACUCGGUUCGACCAGGUCUGGUGACCGGCGACGAGGGGCCGGGCUCGGCGCCGGGGGUCGGGGAAAGAAGAACUAGGUCUGGCAGUAGAUCAGAAUCUACCUGUUGGGGAAAACCAGAAAUAGGAAGAAGAGUUAUUAAUGGUUCAUUCUUGGCUGAGAAGAAUUCAGUAUGGAAUAAUUAAGGACUGACUUUAAGAGAAUCUACUUGUCACUGGAUUUAGGGUACACCUGGAUAAUCCAAGAUGAUCUCACCUGAAAAUUUUUAAUUACAUCUGCAAAGACCUUUUCUUCAAAUAAAGUAAUAUUCACAGGGUCUGGGGAUUGGGAUAUGGAUGUGUCUUUUCAGGAGCCACCAUUUAACCCACUAAAUUCAUUAUAUGCUGUUUAAUGCUGUAUCUUCCUUUUGGAUUGAAGAGAUAUGCUUCUGUUUGAAGAUGGGCAAGUGGGCUAGGGAAUUUUUGGCUAGUAGGUAGAAAGGAACUUUAAAAAUAUUUCUGGUUGGUGCUGUUUAGUAAGUGCUUGUUAAACUUUCAGAGGUCAAAUAUCUUGAACACAAAUUGGAGAAGGAGUAAAUCAGUAUAAAGUGAAAAAUAUGAUAUUUUCUCCAAAAGGCAGUCACUGACUGCUUUGGCAGAAAGAAUUGAGGUGAUUACUCAAGAGUUCCACCAAAUUGUUGUGCUAGCUUUUACAUUUGCAAACUAUAAAAAACGGGACUAAAUUAAGUAGCAGCUCACUUUUUUUAUUAACAGUAUUACAAGUUGACUUUUUCAUUUCUUGUGUAAUUGAGAUAAAAGGGGGGGUGUGUGUAUGAGAGAGAGACAAAGAUUUUGUUAAUGGUUUUAGUAUGAUUCAUUUCUUAUGUCAUAUGGGCAUUCUAAUUUGAGUCAUAUUAAUUAAGGUGAUCUAUGUAUGUAAACUCUUUGAGGGAGGGACUUGGCAUGCCUUGUAUACAGCUAGAUCCCCAGUGUAGUUCCGGACACGUGGUAGAUGUGCUCAGACAACAUUAGCUGUAUGAAUGAAAGAACUUCUUAUGAUACCCAAAUCUGGCAGCCACAAGUCUCAUUACAAUUUACUUUAUGGAGGGUCCCCAUUGGUAAUAAGGUCUAUUAAUUGUAGAAUUGUCCCUGCUGACUUUAAGAGACUUCACUCUGUGUCCUUUUAUGCUGACAGAGCCUACAACUUUUUUCAUCUCCAAUAAUCUUCAGCUCCAGGCCAAAAAAAAGUUGUUCUUGCCCUGCUCACAUUAAUUGAAAUAAGUCAGUGAGAUUCCUUCUGCCCACCACCUCACUUCUCACUAGCAUGGGGCUCAGCUACCAUUAGAGAUGUUAGAGUGGGGCUGUUGUGCAGUUCUUCAGACUAUUAGUGCUGUAUGCUAUGUUCUGAGGAGGGUUCGGGCUUUUAUCUUCUCAAAAAUGUGUAAAAUUUUGACUCACUCAUACAGCUUUAGAUGUUAACAGAUAGAAGUAUACUGACUGUGUGUGCUAGGCUCUUCCAUGUAUUAUAUCAGAUGUUGCUUCCAGCCAACCUGAGAAGCUAAGUACUAACAUUGUCCCUAUUUUACAGAAGCAUAAAGAAGUUAAGCAACCCAACCUAAGUUCACACCAAAAUUUGAACCCAGGUAGCCUUACUUCAUUCAGUGCCCGUGUUCUUAACCAUGUCCAAUGACAGCCUCAAGCUCAUUUGUUUAUAAGUAACUCGUUCUUACUUUCUAAAAGCUUUUCUGUUUUCUUUAUUUUGAAGCUCAGAAAUUAGAAAUCUGACUAGGAUAUAUAUAUAGGUAUAUGCCCUUUUUCAUUUAUCCUGUCUGGUACUCAAUGAGCCCUUUUGAUUUCAUAAUUCUAGUCUCCUCCUGAGGGAAGUUUUCUUGUAUUAUGUUUUGAUUAUUACUUUUUCCAUUAUGGUCCUUGUUCUCUCUCUGAAUGCCUUUUAUUUCCAAUUAGACCUCCUGGACCUGCUGGUUAGUUCUCUCAUCUUUUUAUUCAAGAAUUCCAUUUCUUUUUUUUUUGCUCCAGAUAAUGUGAUACACAUUCACCUGCUUUUCCAGAUAACAGAUUUGUUCUUUGGAGGGUCUCCUGUACUUUUUACUUCCUCAAUUGAAAUUUAAAAUUUAUAAAUCAUGUUUAAAGAAUUACCCAAUCUAUUAUUUUGUUUCAGUUAUUCCCUUGCAUUCAACAGCAUAUACAAAAUAAAAUAUACAAGUAAACAUGGUUUAUUUUAGAAAUGUGAGACUAUUUCAACAUUAGGAAAUACUAAUGUAAGAUAUCACUCUAAUAGAUCAAAGGAAAAAAACUUAGAAUCAUUUUCACAAAUACUGCAAAGGUAUUUGAUAAAUCACUACUCAUUCUUGAUAAAAACCAAAGAAACAAAAAACAGCUCUUGUUAAUCCAGGAAAUGAAGGCUAUUUUCUUAACAGUACAGCCAAUAUCAUAGUUAACUUUGAAAGUUAAUUUUGAAAUACUUGAGCAACAUUCCCUAAGAGUAUCUUCAGAACUGUAGAUCUGAUGUUUAUAUAAAAAAGGGUAUCUUGGUGUAUUAGUUAGGGUAAAGCGAGAUGUUACAACAAAUACCAACUUUUCAGUGGCUUAAUAAAAUAUAAAUUUAUUUUUCCCUCAUGUAAUAGUCCACUGCGGAUGUUUCUGGUUGGCAGACAGUUGUUUUUUUCUGUAUGGUAACUCAGGGACAUAGGCUCCUUCCAUUAUAGGGAUCCACCAUUCCCUAGGGCCUUGAAUUCUUCUGUUUCCAGUGGACAGAAUUGCAGAGAUAGGGUGGAGAAUGCAUACUUUCUUCUCAGUUACCUUGGCCUGGAUACGACACACAUCAGUUCUGUUCACAUUCCCACAUUCCAUUGGCCGGAACUAGAUGCGUUACCUCACCUGUCUGCAAGAUGUGUGUUCCAGGGGAGGGAAAUGGAAAACAUUAUCUGGCUGGGGAACCACAGGUGUGGUAACAGUCUCAUUUGUAGUUGGAAGGAGUAGAAAUUAGGAAUGCCUUAGUGGAGGACACUGUGUGAUAUCUGUCAAAUUUUAAAACAUACAUGUUCUUUGACCUCAAAAUUCCACUUCCAGCAAUUUUUCCUACAGAUAUACCCACAAAUAUAUACAUGUUUACACUUGGAGGAUAUACCUAGUAAUAUUGUAAUAGUAAAAGAUUGGAAGCAUUCUGAAUGUCCAUCAAAGGGGACUGAGUUGGAAACAUUCUGAAUGUCCAUCAAAGGGGACUGAGUAAAUUAUUGUUUAUCCAUACAUUGAAACACUGCAGCCACUGAGAGGCAGUGAUAUAUGUACUGACUGGGGAGAGAAAUGCAAGGUACAGAACCGUGUGUUCACAGCUACCAUUUACUUAAAAAGAGAAAUAUAUACAUGUAUGCUCAUAUAUUCAUAGAAUAUUUAUGGAGGGAUCACAAGAAACUGGAAGGAUCACAAAAAAUGUAACAGUGGCUGCUUCUGGUUAAAAUUAUAAGGUCAUGGGUCAUGGGAUGAGAGAGUCAGGCUUUUACUGUGUCCUCUUUUAUACCUUUUGAUGUGCACCUAUUUAAAUAUAAAAGUCAGUUGUAGAAGUAUAAUAAAUAACAUGGAAAGAUGGCUGUAAUAUAUUAUUGCCUAAAAACAAGCUUACUGAAAAUUAUGUACAAUAUGUUCUCACUUUUAUAAAUAAAUAAAGAAAUGGGAUAUACAGAA
rnacentral:lncRNA from 1 species